rnacentral:rRNA from 1 species
CGGCCACAUUGGGACUGAGAUACGGCCCAGACUCCUACGGGAGGCAGCAGUGGGGAAUAUUGCACAAUGGGCGCAAGCCUGAUGCAGCGACGCCGCGUGCGGGAUGACGGCCUUCGGGUUGUAAACCGCUUUUGAUCGGGAGCAAGCCUUCGGGUGAGUGUACCUUUCGAAUAAGCACCGGCUAACUACGUGCCAGCAGCCGCGGUAAUACGUAGGGUGCAAGCGUUAUCCGGAAUUAUUGGGCGUAAAGGGCUCGUAGGCGGUUCGUCGCGUCCGGUGUGAAAGUCCAUCGCUUAACGGUGGAUCUGCGCCGGGUACGGGCGGGCUGGAGUGCGGUAGGGGAGACUGGAAUUCCCGGUGUAACGGUGGAAUGUGUAGAUAUCGGGAAGAACACCAAUGGCGAAGGCAGGUCUCUGGGCCGUUACUGACGCUGAGGAGCGAAAGCGUGGGGAGCGAACAGGAUUAGAUACCCUGGUAGUCCACGCCGUAAACGGUGGAUGCUGGAUGUGGGGCCCGUUCCACGGGUUCCGUGUCGGAGCUAACGCGUUAAGCAUCCCGCCUGGGGAGUACGGCCGCAAGGCUAAAACUCAAAGAAAUUGACGGGGGCCCGCACAAGCGGCGGAGCAUGCGGAUUAAUUCGAUGCAACGCGAAGAACCUUACCUGGGCUUGACAUGUUCCCGACAGCCGUAGAGAUAUGGCCUCCCUUCGGGGCGGGUUCACAGGUGGUGCAUGGUCGUCGUCAGCUCGUGUCGUGAGAUGUUGGGUUAAGUCCCGCAACGAGCGCAACCCU